CUUUGAGGCUUUCCAACUGUCUGCUACACAAAAAAGAAACCAUAGUUAUAGGAGCUUCCAAUAGAGAUCAUGAAGGCCAGAGGAGUAGGGCUCUGCCCAUGACAUCUGCUGUAGGAGAAAUAAAAAAGGGAGACCCAGCAAGAGUAAGAGGAUGGUGUGACAGUUCACCUUCCAGCUACUCUCAGGCUCUUGUGGAUCCUGCUGGCUUAGGGAUAAAAGGCCCUGAGGAAAGAACUUGCUUCAUAUGCUCCACUGUCUUUGCUGUUAGAUGAUUGUGCCUGAGCUUGAUCUGCUGCUAAGACAUUACCAAGCAUGAAGUCUUUUAUUUUCUUUCUUUCCUUGAUUGUGAGGCACUGGGUUCAAUUCUCAGCACUGCAUAUAAAUAAAAUAAAGGUAUUGUGUCCACCUACAACUAAAAAAUAAAUGUUAAAAAAAGAUGGAUGGAGAAUGAGAGGGAAGUCUGAGGACUUGAUUUAAGGCCAAGAGCCCCAUAUUGUUCUAAUAUUUCAGAUUUGAAGAUAGGAUCCUAUUAAAAGGCUAUUCAAUUAGUUUUAUGAGAAAAGUGGUUGAGGGCUUUUUCAGGUUCUGCUUAAAGAAAAGUUUUUGUGCCAUCUAGGUACAGGAAGAGAAAAAUUAGAGCAGUGGUUUCCUAACUUGAGUGCAUACGAGAACUACUUGAAGAGCACAUUAAAAGAAGUUGGAUUCAGUAAGUCUGGGGCAGGACCCAGCAGUCUGCAUUUUUCAUCUUAUCUGUGGACAUUGAUGCGGCUGGUCUGUGGACUAUACUUUGAGUAUUGGUCAGUGGAAAAUCAGAUGGGUUGUAUUGCAAAAAAAAUACAGAAAGCCAAGGCAUGAAGAAUUGCGGAUUUUUCCCCCUUUUUUAAAUUUAGUUUUUUAUUUAUACAUAACAUUAAGAUUCAUUCUGACAUGACUAUAAAAACAUGGAAUAUAAUUUGCUCUAAUUCAGUUCCCUGUACCUUCCUCUUUCUCUCCCUCCUCCCUCCCUGUUCCCUUCCCUUUACUAGUCUUUCUGCUAUUUACUUAUAGUUUUUUUUUUUUUUUUUAAUUAGUGCCUUGUGGAUAUACAUAAAGGUAAAACUCAUGUAUGUGUAUAGGGAAGUUAGGUCAGAUUCAUUCCACUGUUCUUCCCUUAUUCUGUCUCUCCUCCCUCCUCCUCAAUCCCCUUCCUUUACUCCGCUGAUCUUUAUUCUGGCAAAUGCCAGAAUUUUAUUCUUCUUUAUGGCUGAGUAAUACUCCAUUGUGUAUAUAUAUACACACCAUGUUUUCUUGAUCCAUUCAUCUAUUGAUGGGCACCUGAGAUGCUUCAUAACUUGGCUAUUGUGAAUUGUGCUGCUGUAAACAUUGAUGUGACUAUAUCCCUAUAAUAUGCUGAUUUUAGAUCUUUGGAUGUAUACUAAGGUGUUGGAUAGCUGGGUCAUAUGGUGGUUCCAUACCUACUUUUCUGAGGAAUUUCCAUACUACUUUCCAGACUAAUUUGCUGUCCCAUGAACAAUAAUAUGAAUGUACCUUUUCCCCUGCACGUACUCACCAAUAUUUAUUAUUAUUUCUAUUUUCUUUUUUAAUAUUUAUUUUUUAGUUUUAGGUGGACACAAUAUCUUUAUUUUACAUUUAUGUGGUGCUGAGGAUCGAACCCAGUGCCUCAUGCAGGCUAGGUGAGUGCUCUACCACUGAGCCACAACCCCAGCCCAUAUUAUUCGUAUUCUUGAUGUUUGCCAUUCUGACUGGAGUGAAAUGAAAUCGCAAUGUAGUUUUGAUUUGCAUCUCUCAGACAGCUAGAGUUAUUGAACAUUUUUUCAUAUAUUUACUGGCCAUUUGUAUUUCUUCUCCUGAAAAGUUUCUGUUUAGUUCUUUUGCCCAUUUGUUAUUUAGGGUUUUUCUUUUUUUGGUGUUAAGUUUUUGAGUUCUUUAUCUAUCUGAGCAGCAGGUGGCAAAGGUUUUCUUCCAUUCUCUAGGCUCUCUCUUCACAUUCUGAAUUGUUUACUUUGCUGUGCAAAAUGUUUUUUAAUUUGAUACCGUCCCAUUUAUUAAUUUUUAUGCUUUGGGAGUCUUGUUAAGGAUGUUAGUGCCUGUGCCAAUGUGUUGAAGUGUUGGGCCUACGUUUUCUUCUAAUAGGUGCAGGGUUUCUGGUCUAAUUCUUAGGUAUUUGAUCCAUUUUGAGUUGACUUUUGUGCAGCGUGAGAGAUAGUGGUCAAGUUACAUUCUUCUACAUAUGGAUAUCCAGUUUUCCCAGCACCAUUUGUUAAAAAGGCUAUCUUUUCUGCAACAAAUGUUUUUGGCACCUUUGUCUAGUAUCAGAUAACUAUACUUAUGUGAGUUUGUCUCUGUGUCUUCUAUUCCAUGGGUCUUCAUGUCUGUUUUGGUGUCAGUACCAUGCUGUUUUUGUUACUAUAGCUCUGUAGUAUAGUUUAAGGUCUGGUAUUGUGAUGCUUCCUGGUUCAUUCUUCUUGCUCAGGAUUGCUUUGUCUAUUCUGGCUCUCUUAUUUUUCCAAAUGAAUUUUAGAACUCCUUUUUGCAGUUCUGUGAAGAAUGUCAUUGGUAUUUUGAUGGGGAUUACACUGAAUAUGUGUAUUACUUUUGAUAGUAUGACCAUUUUGACAAUAUUAAUUCUGCCUAUGCAAGAGCAUGGAAGGUCUUUCCAUCUUCUGAGGUCUUCAAUUUCUUUCUUUAGUGUUCUUUAGUUUUUAUUGCAGAAGCACUGAAUGGGAUUAGGUUUUGCUGUGUCUUCUAAAUGGUAUUUUAUUGGGCAUUUUCACUUCUCCAUUAGAUUAGUUCCCAAGUGUUUUUUUUUUCUUUUUUCUUUUUUUUUGAGAUUAUUGUGAGUGGGAUAGUUUGCUUAAUUCUUUUUUUGUUUUAAUUCUAAUUUGUUAUAUAUGACAGCAGAAUGCAUUACAACUCAUUAUUUUGCCUAAUUCUUUUUCAGCAGAUUCAUUGUGAGUAUAGGAAAGUAUUUGAUUUAUGUAUGUUGACAGAGAUAAUUUGAACUCUUCUUAUUUGUAUCCCUUUACUUUCCCUGUCUAGCCCAACUGCUCUGGCAGAGUUUCCGGGACUAAGUUGAAUAGGAGUGAUGAGAGAGAGUGGGCACCCUUGUCUUGCUCCUAUUUAUAGAGGAAAUGCUUUUUAAGUUUUUCUCCAUUCAAUAUGAUAUUGGCCUUGUGUUUGUCAUAUAUAAUCUUUACAAUGUUGAGGUAAGUUCCUUCUAUUCCUAGUUUCUCUAUAGUGUUCUAAACAAGAAUGGGUAUUGGAUUUUGUCAAAUGCUUUUUCUGCAUCUAUUGAGAUAAUCAUGUGAUUUUUAUCCUUAAUUCUAUUUGUGUUUUAACUAUAAGUGGCUUCAAAAGCAAUAAAUAUUGCCAUAAUAGUUGCUAAAAUGAGUUCCUGUUUAUUUUCCAAUGGCUAGAAAUGUUCUUAUGGAUAUUGUUUAAAAGGAAGGGCUUGGGUGCAGUUGCAUGGUAGAGCACUUACGUAGAGCAUCAGAGGCCCUGGGUUCAAUCUCCAGCACAACCCCCCAAAACCAAAACUUUUAAUCUGGGACUGAUAUCCAUAGCAGUGGUGACAGAUAAGAGGUCCAUUAGUGAAGACUGAAGCAAUGAGCAGUGCAGACAUUUUCAAGUCUCUGUGAUUCUGAAAGGAUGCAGACCCUGUUCAGUGUGCAGACAUUGCACACUGAGGGCUCUAAACACAGGAUAAGGGAUUAUACUCUUUACUCAACUAAACAUGCAAUUUACUGAAGCCUGGGUUGUGCUUUGAUUUCAUGGGCUUAGGUAAGUUUGUUUAUUUCUGUGGAGAGUAAAAACUGGAACAAAUUUUAGUUGGUGCUUGGAUCUUUUGCAGGUUUAUUAAAAAUGCAAAGAAUAAUAAGAGGAAAGAUUAGAGGUUAUACAAUUCCAUUCUGAUGUACUAGAACAGCUUUCAGCAACACUUAUGCUGCAGCCUCUGUGUAGGGGGUCAGAUAUAUUCAGGGCAGUGUGUCAAGGAAAGAACAUGUGAGCAACAUCUUUAGGAGAAAAAAAGCAGCAUAAAACAUCAGCCCAAAGCAAUAGGGCACUAGGAGGGCUCCUGGAAAUAGAGGCAUGAAGAGGAAGUGUAGGCUUAAUAAGUCAAAAGCUAUAAAGAAAGCACAUACAUCCUAGUUUAAGGGAUGGACAGAGGUAAAGGUGAUUUACUAUAAAUGCCCAAUAAAAUACCAUUUAGAAGACACAGCAAAGCCUAAUCCCAUUCAGUGCUUCUAUAGCUAUAUAAUAACAUGACCUCUUCAAUUUUCCAUUAGCUGAAAGGUCAUUAGACCUUUCCACUCUUAUAUCUUCCUUCCACCCCCCAGAAAAACA
rnacentral:lncRNA from 1 species